UACGGAGGGUGCAAGCGUUAAUCGGAAUUACUGGGCGUAAAGCGUGCGCAGGCGGUUUGUUAAGUCCGCUGUGAAAUCCCCGAGCUCAACUUGGGAAUUGCAGUGGAUACUGGCAAGCUGGAGUAUGGUAGAGGAAGGUGGAAUUCCCGGUGUAGCAGUGAAAUGCGUAGAGAUCGGGAGGAACACCGGUGGCGAAGGCGGUUCUCUGGGCCUGUACUGACGCUGAGGAGCGAAAGCGUGGGGAGCGAACAGG
rnacentral:rRNA from 1 species